UGCGAAUUUGGUUAGUCCAGGCACGGGCUC
rnacentral:piRNA from 1 species